rnacentral:rRNA from 1 species
CCUACGGGGGGCAGCAGUAGGGAAUGUUGCGCAAUGGGCGAAAGCCUGACGCAGCAACACCGCGUGAAUGAUAAGCCCUUCGGGGUGUAAAGUUCUGUCAAUAGGGACGAAUUUUGACUGUACCUAUAAAGGAAGCACCGGCUAACUCCGUGCCAGCAGCCGCGGUAAUACGGAGGGUGCGAGCGUUAAUCGGAAUUACUGGGCGUAAAGCGCUCGUAGGCGGUAUGUCAAGUCAAGGGUGAAAUCCCCGCGCUCAACGUGGGAACUGCCUUUGAAACUGGCAAACUGGAGUGUGUGAGAGGAUAGUGGAAUUCCAGGUGUAGGAGUGAAAUCCGUAGAUAUCUGGAGGAACAUCAGUGGCGAAGGCGACUAUCUGGCACAUAACUGACGCUGAGGAGCGAAAGCGUGGGUAGCAAACAGGAUUAGAUACCCCAGUAGUC